AUUGAACGCUGGCGGCAUGCCUUACACAUGCAAGUCGAACGGUAACAGGUCUUCGGAUGCUGACGAGUGGCGAACGGGUGAGUAACACAUCGGAACGUGCCCGAUCGUGGGGGAUAACGAAGCGAAAGCUUUGCUAAUACCGCAUACGAUCUACGGAUGAAAGCAGGGGACCGCAAGGCCUUGCGCGAACGGAGCGGCCGAUGGCAGAUUAGGUAGUUGGUGGGAUAAAAGCUUACCAAGCCGACGAUCUGUAGCUGGUCUGAGGGGACGACCAGCCACACUGGGACUGAGACACGGCCCAGACUCCUACGGGAGGCAGCAGUGGGGAAUUUUGGACAAUGGGCGAAAGCCUGAUCCAGCCAUGCCGCGUGCAGGAUGAAGGUCUUCGGGUUGUAAACUGCUUUUGUACGGAACGAAAAGACUCUGGUUAAUACCUGGGGUCCAUGACGGUACCGUAAGAAUAAGCACCGGCUAACUACGUGCCAGCCGCCGCCGUAAAAC
rnacentral:rRNA from 1 species